GUAAAACUAUAUAAAGCACAAGUUUUCACAGCCCUGAUACUCCCCUGGGCACUGCAUGGGUGAAACGGAAUUAUUUCUAAUAUAUACUGAGAAAGGGUAAACGGGAGGAGGACUGCGCAGUGGAUUUUCAAAUAAUGAAUCUGCUCUUCAGGCUCUGGAAAAUGAAGAGGAGGGUACAUAACUAUUUGGCAUCAAAAUACAGGGAGUGACACUAUCUGCUUACUAUAUCAACCGAGGACACAAUAUUGAAUUUCAGAGAACAGAAGGAAGAAGAAGUAUUGUUAUCUGCCUCAACUGUGUUUCAAUUCAGAGAUCAGCUUUAUGCCUCAUCCCUGACAUCAGACUUCAGAGGUGAAAAGGAAGGUGCCGAACGAGGAAUACAAGGACAGCACAAAAACUCACGUGAAUCUGAGCAUCAGCAGUUCGCGAUUGCAUCAAGCUUCUGUUUCUUUCUACUUCUGAAAGCAAAUCCCCAGACGAGAGGUCUAAGAUGCGUGAAUGGAGUUUCUGGGGGGUGGGGAGGUUAGAAGGGAAUGAGCAACGCAUAAGCAUUUGUCAGGUAUGCAACAGAUCAGCAUUUCUAAAAUUCCAAACUCUGCGGUUAAAUUUCAAGGGAAAUGAAGACCCCGAGGUAAAAGAGGAUUUGUUCUAAUUCGAAGUGUUGCUGUUCAUGCUUGUUUUGUUCCAGACUUCCUGUCUGAAGAACAGGUUGUUCUUCAUCUAAAACAAACCAUACUUUUUCUUCCAGUCUCUGUUUUGCAACUUAUCAUUAUUUAAUAUGCAACAAUGACAAAUGAACAUGAGUUCCACCACUAUCCAUAGAGUUUGACAGGUUUCAGGGAAAAAGCAUAAAAAUGAACUACAAAAUUAACAUUUAUAAAUCAAUCAACACGUUAAUGUUGUUUUAUUUACGAGCUGCUACACCUUGAAUGAAUGAUUGCAAAACUGACCCAAUUUUUAAACAGCAUUGAUCUGCUGAAGGCCUCCCUUGCACACAUUUUAACUCAAAGUCAUUAAUGUCAUCUGUUAGGAACAAUUAAUGUGAAUAGAAAAUAAUUGCAUCAGGGAACUAGGGACUCAGAGGAUUUUGUGCAUUAAUAUUCAGAUGCUGUUCGAUUAUAUACACAGUUCUUUCCUUUGGUUUUGCUUGGAAGAACGACUAAGCUGGUGCCACUUCCUCCAUAUUCACCUGUAUACCAAUUACUAAGGCUUUCAGUGUGCAUUAAACCUGAUUUGCUUUAAUUGCAGUUUCAAUAAAAUCCAUGAUUUAUGUGAA